GAUGAACGCUGGCGGCGUGCCUAACACAUGCAAGUCGAACGGGUUAUUGUAGCAAUACAAUAGCUAGUGGCGAACGGGUGAGUAAUAUAUAAGUAAUCUACCCUUCAGUCAGGGAUAACCUUUCGAAAGGAAGGCUAAUACCCGAUACGAUCCCUUUUACGAUGUUUGAGGGAUGAAAGAUUUAUUGCUGAAGGACGAGCUUAUAUCUGAUUAGCUAGUUGGUGAGGUAACGGCCCACCAAGGCGAUGAU
rnacentral:rRNA from 1 species